AGAGUUUGAUUCUGGCUCAGGAUGAACGCUGGCGGCAUGCCUAAUACAUGCAAGUCGAACGAAGUGAAGAUAGCUUGCUAUUGGAACUUAGUGGCGAACGGGUGAGUAACACGUAGAUAACCUGCCUGUAUGACCGGGAUAACAGUUGGAAACGACUGCUAAUACCGGAUAGGCAGAGAGGAGGCAUCUCUUCUCUGUUAAAGUUGGGACACAACGCAAACAGAUGGAUCUGCGGUGCAUUAGCUAGUUGGUGAGGUAACGGCCCACCAAGGCGAUGAUGCAUAGCCGGCCUGAGAGGGCGAACGGCCACAUUGGGACUGAGACACGGCCCAAACUCCUACGGGAGGCAGCAGUAGGGAAUUUUCGGCAAUGGGGGAAACCCUGACCGAGCAAUGCCGCGUGAGUGAAGACGGCCUUCGGGUUGUAAAGCUCUGUUGUAAGGGAAGAACGGCAUAGAGAGGGAAUGCUCUAUGAGUGACGGUACCUUACCAGAAAGCCACGGCUAACUACGUGCCAGCAGCCGCGGUAAUACGUAGGUGGCAAGCGUUAUCCGGAAUUAUUGGGCGUAAAGGGUGCGUAGGCGGCGAGAUAAGUCUGAGGUAAAAGCCCGUGGCUCAACCACGGUAAGCCUUGGAAACUGUCUGGCUGGAGUGCAGGAGAGGACAAUGGAAUUCCAUGUGUAGCGGUAAAAUGCGUAGAUAUAUGGAGGAACACCAGUGGCGAAGGCGGUUGUCUGGCCUGUAACUGACGCUGAAGCACGAAAGCGUGGGGAGCAAAUAGGAUUAGAUACCCUAGUAGUCCA
rnacentral:rRNA from 1 species